rnacentral:rRNA from 1 species
UACGUAGGGGGCAAGCGUUGUCCGGAAUCAUUGGGCGUAAAGAGCGUGUAGGCGGCCAGAAAAGUCCGCUGUGAAAACUCGAGGCUCAACUUCGAGCUGUCGGUGGAAACUUUCUGGCUAGAGUCCGGAAGAGGAGAAUGGAAUUCCUGGUGUAGCGGUGAAAUGUGCAGAUAUCAGGAAGAACACCCGUGGCGAAGGCGGUUCUCUGGGACGGUACUGACGCUGAGACGCGAAAGCGUGGGGAGCGAACAGG